rnacentral:rRNA from 1 species
UACGGGGGGGGCAAGCGUUGUUCGGAAUUACUGGGCGUAAAGGGCGCGUAGGCGGCCUUCUAAGUCGGACGUGAAAUCCCUCGGCUUAACCGAGGAACUGCGUCCGAUACUGAAAGGCUUGAAUCCGGGAGAGGGAUGUGGAAUUCCAGGUGUAGCGGUGAAAUGCGUAGAUAUCUGGAGGAACACCGGUGGCGAAGGCGGCAUCCUGGACCGGCAUUGACGCUGAGGCGCGAAAGCGUGGGGAGCAAACAGG